rnacentral:rRNA from 1 species
AGUCGUAACAAGGUUUUCGUAGGUGAACCUGCGGAAGGAUCAUUAAUGAAUUCGGGCGCUCGACUCUGAAAUAUUGAGAUCGGCCCCAUUUCUUAAUCCACUUCACACUUGUGCACAUUUUUCCUACUUUCCUUCGGGAGAGUUUGAAAAGCUCUUGUGAUUUUAAUCAAGUCCAGGAUGUGAAUCCAAUUUGAAUAAGUUGUAAAACAACUACAAACGGUGGAUCUCUUGGCUCUCGUAUCGAUGAAGAACGCAGCGAAACGCGAAAUGUAAUGUGAAUUGCAGAAUUCAGUGAAUCAUCGAAUCUUUGAACGCAUCUUGCACUCUCGAAUCACUAUCGAGAGUAUGCCUGUUUGAGUGUCGCGAAACUCUCAACCCCGCCUCAUGCUUUAUUGCGUGUGGGUAGCUUGGGCUUGGAUCAUGAUCUUUGCAGUGUUGCAUUAGCAAACUGCUGGAUUGAAAUACAACAAGCUGAAUCUAUAUACUUGCGGCUUGACCUGUCGUUGUAAACACACAAAUGCAUUCGAUGGGGACGCGAGAAAAUGGAAUGAGCUUUCCAAAUGUGUUACACUUUGCAGCUUCUAUUAACUUAGAGCUCUUAGUGCAUUCUGACCUCAAAUCAGGUAGGAUUACCCGCUGAACUUAAGCAUAUCAAUA